UGGGGAAUAUUGCACAAUGGGCGCAAGCCUGAUGCAGCCAUGCCGCGUGUAUGAAGAAGGCCUUCGGGUUGAAAAGUACUUUCAGCGGGGAGGAAGGGAGUAAAGUUAAUACCUUUGCUCAUUGACGUUACCCGCAGAAGAAGCACCGGCUAACUCCGUGCCAGCAGCCGCGGUAAUACGGAGGGUGCAAGCGUUAAUCGGAAUUACUGGGCGUAAAGCGCACGCAGGCGGUUUGUUAAGUCAGAUGUGAAAUCCCCGGGCUCAACCUGGGAACUGCAUCUGAUACUGGCAAGCUUGAGUCUCGUAGAGGGGGGUAGAAUUCCAGGUGUAGCGGUGAAAUGCGUAGAGAUCUGGAGGAAUACCGGUGGCGAAGGCGGCCCCCUGGACGAAGACUGACGCUCAGGUGCGAAAGCGUGGGGAGCAAACAGG
rnacentral:rRNA from 1 species